AUACAGGAGAAAAGGAAGGUCAUAAACAGAAAGUGGGAACAGCCGUAUAUAAGUGAGCUUUAUACGUAUGUGGGCAGAACAGCCAAAUUCUCCACGUGACGGCCUCAAUUUUGUGAAAUAGAAGCCCAGUGAGAGUCAAAAAGUGCCCAGGAGACCAUAUCCACCUGGCCAGCUGCCACAGGCUCUUCAACCCUACCGAGGAUGGGAUCCAUCAUGCCUUCCUCCUCACUGUGGCCCAGGACUUAUUCCGCUACCUCUUCCUCCUGGUCCACCAGGGCGCAUUCCUCCUCCUCCUCCCUUUGGCCCAGGGCGCAUUCCAUUUCAACCCCUUCCACAGGGACCCAUUAAACAAGCUAAACCCUUUCCAGGUUACCCAGAACCACCUUUCCAACAAAGACCUUACCCUCCAGGACCUCCUCAGGUGCCAAAAGGCCAACUUCCCUUUAUUCCUUUUUGCCCUCCUUGCCCCACCCCUACAACCCUAUGUGAAACAACCACCACAGCUACAACCACAAGCACUACCGUUACAGAACCCACCACCAUACCACGAAAGAAACCACUACUUCCACAGAACUCACUACCACAACAGCAACCACCACCACUUGCACUGAACCUUCCACCACCCCAGCAGCCAUCACUUCCACUGAACCCACCACCACAGCACCCACCACCAGCACUUCCAUAGAACCCAUUGUCACCACAACAGAAGCCACCACUUCC
rnacentral:lncRNA from 1 species